CGACGGGUGAGUAACACGUAUGCAAUCCACCUGUAACAGGGGAUAACCCGGAGAAAUCCGGACUAAUACCCAUAAUAUGGGCGCUCCGCAUGGAGAGUCCAUUAAAGAGAGCAAUCUUGGUUACAGACGAGCAUGCGCUCCAUUAGCCAGUUGGCGGGGUAACGGCCCACCAAAGCGACGAUGGAUAGGGGUUCUGAGAGGAAGGUCCCCCACAUUGGAACUGAGACACGGUCCAA
rnacentral:rRNA from 1 species